AUUGAACGCUGGCGGCAGGCCUAACACAUGCAAGUCGAACGGUAACAGGAAGACGCUUGCUUCUUUGCUGACGAGUGGCGGACGUGUGAGUAAUGUCUGGGAAACUGCCUGAUGGAGGGGGAUAACUACUGGAAACGGUAGCUAAUACCGCAUAACGUCGCAAGACCAAAGAGGGGGACCUUCGGGCCUCUUGCCAUCGGAUGUGCCCAGAUGGGAUUAGCUAGUAGGUGGGGUAACGGCUCACCUAGGCGACGAUCCCUAGCUGGUCUGAGAGGAUGACCAGCCACAAUGGAACGGAGACACGGUCCAGACUCCUACGGGAGGCAGCAGUGGGGAAUAUUGCACAAUGGGCGAAAGCCUGAUGCAGCAAUGCCGCGUGUAUGAAGAAGGCCUUCGGGUUGUAAAGUACUUUCAGCGGGGAGGAAGGGAGUAAAGUUAAUACCUUUGCUCAUUGACGUUACCCGCAGAAGAAGCACCGGCUAACUCCGUG
rnacentral:rRNA from 1 species